UUGUUGGUAAGGUAAAAGCUUACCAAGGCUUCGAUCAGUAGCUGGUCUGAGAGGGCGACCAGCCACACUGGGACUGAGACACGGCCCAGACUCCUACGGGAGGCAGCAGUGGGGAAUUUUGGACAAUGGGGGCAACCCUGAUCCAGCCAUGCCGCGUGAGUGAAGAAGGCCUUCGGGUUGUAAAGCUCUUUCAGCCGGAACGAAACGGUUACGGUUAACACCCGUGACUACUGACGGUACCGGAAGAAGAAGCACCGGCUAACUACGUGCCAGCAGCCGCGGUAAUACGUAGGGUGCGAGCGUUAAUCGGAAUUACUGGGCGUAAAGCGUGCGCAGGUGGUUUUGUAAGUCAGAUGUGAAAGCCCCGGGCUCAACCUGGGAACUGCGUUUGAAACUACAAGACUAGAGUGUGGCAGAGGGGGGUGGAAUUCCGCGUGUAGCAGUGAAAUGCGUAGAGAUGUGGAGGAACACCGAUGGCGAAGGCAGCCCCCUGGGUCAACACUGACGCUCAGGCACGAAAGCAUGGGGAGCAAACAGGAUUAGAUACCCUGGUAGUCCAUGCCCUAAACGAUGUCAACUAGUUGUCGGGCCUUUACGGGCUUGGUAACGUAGCUAACGCGUGAAGUUGACCGCCUGGGGAGUACGAUCGCAAGAUUAAAACUCAAAUGAAUUGACGGGGACCCGCACAAGCGGUGGAUUAUGUGGAUUAAUUCGAUGCAACGCGAAAAACCUUACCUACCCUUGACAUGUAUCGAAGCCCGCAGAAAAGCGGGGGUGCCCGAAAGGGAACGAUAACACAGGUGCUGCAUGGCUGUCGUCAGCUCGUGUCGUGAGAUGUUGGGUUAAGUCCCGCAACGAGCGCAACCCUUGUCAUUAAUUGCCAUCAUUUAGUUGGGCACUUUAAUGAGACUGCCGG
rnacentral:rRNA from 1 species